rnacentral:rRNA from 1 species
AAACGGCCGCGUUAGCGUGAGCGUGCUAAGGUAGCGUAAUAAAUAGCUCCUUAAUUGGGGGCCAGUGAAUGGCAAGACUAAGAACACUUGUACCUUUUAUACCCAAAAAAUUUUUCGUCUAAGUGAAAAGACUUAGAUAAUUAGGGCAGACGAAAAGACCCCGCGGAACUUCACCUUAUCCAGUUCAAUGCCCAAUAAGCACAAUAGACGAAAGGUUUGAUUGGGGCAAUCUUGGAACCAACAAAGCUUCCAACUUACUUAUAAAAACAUAUAGAAUUCAAUAAAGACAAAAAAGAAGUUACCCCGGGGAUAACAGCGUAAUCCAACUUGAGAGUACACAUCGAAAGUUGGGUUUGCGACCUCGAUGUUGGCUUAAG